UAGGGAAUCUUCGGCAAUGGACGAAAGUCUGACCGAGCAACGCCGCGUGAGUGAAGAAGGUUUUCGGAUCGUAAAACUCUGUUGUUAGAGAAGAACAAGGACGUUAGUAACUGAACGUCCCCUGACGGUAUCUAACCAGAAAGCCACGGCUAACUACGUGCCAGCAGCCGCGGUAAUACGUAGGUGGCAAGCGUUGUCCGGAUUUAUUGGGCGUAAAGCGAGCGCAGGCGGUUUCUUAAGUCUGAUGUGAAAGCCCCCGGCUCAACCGGGGAGGGUCAUUGGAAACUGGGAGACUUGAGUGCAGAAGAGGAGAGUGGAAUUCCAUGUGUAGCGGUGAAAUGCGUAGAUAUAUGGAGGAACACCAGUGGCGAAGGCGGCUCUCUGGUCUGUAACUGAAGCUGAGGCUCGAAAGCGUGGGGAGCAAACAGG
rnacentral:rRNA from 1 species